UUAAAAUUUUUACCGGUAUUUCCGAGUGCACGGCGGCACGGAUUCAUUCGUUCGUACACUCAAGACUGGUUGCUUCUUUGUUUCUAAAACUAGUUUCUUGCGCUUCUAUGUAACUUGGGGUGAAGUUACGUGUUUGCAAGCGGACAUGUAAGCCCGGCAGUUGGGUUUCGGUCGUGAGCCAUUCGGAACAGGUCUGCAUCGAAACGGGAGCUGGAUUUUGCUGCGGCUGACAACGGCAAUAACGACAUGCAGUAAUGAGGACGGCACCAGUAUAAAGCAACACACUCCACGCACUAAACAGAAGCUGCUGCCUGCUACGACAAGGUCAUUGUGUGGACAUUGGCUACUACUACAAGAGUCUAUGCCAAGCACAUCUUGGUCAUCACAGGAGCUCCUAUCUGCACCAACAGGAAGGGGCUGGAGCCGAAUUUGCAAGGCUUUUACACCAAGAACAAAGAAGCACAUGCACAAGAAUAUGGAUGAGAUAUCAAGUCUGCAAAGGACUGUGUUAAGACUGCAAAGAGCUUCAGCCACCAUUCCACCAGCACGGACAUUUGGCUGAGUCAUCCAAGUAACUCAAAAAGGACUUUCUAGAAAUUCUUCGUCUUCAGAUGCACCUGCAACAUCUGACCAAGCACGGACG